GGACUACACGGGUUUCUAAUCCUGUUUGCUCCCCACGCUUUCGCGUCUCAGCGUCAGCAACGAUCCAGAGGGCCGCCUUCGCCGCCGGUAUUCCUCCUGAUAUCUACGCAUUUCACCGCUACACCAGGAAUUCUACCCUCCUCUAUCGCGCUCCAGCUGGCUAGUUUCCGAUGCCCUUCCGAGGCUAAGCCUCGGGCUUUCACAUCGGACUUGACCAACCGCCUACACGCCCUUUACGCCCAGUCAAUCCGAACAACGCUUGCACCCUCCGUCUUACCGCGGCGGCUGGCAC
rnacentral:rRNA from 1 species